rnacentral:rRNA from 1 species
AACGAACGCUGGCGGCAGGCCUAACACAUGCAAGUCGAGCGCUCUCUUCGGAGGGAGCGGCGGACGGGUGAGUAACGCGUGGGAAUAUGCCCUUUGGUACGGAACAACAGUUGGAAACGACUGCUAAUACCGUAUGUGCCCUACGGGGGAAAGAUUUAUCGCCAAAGGAUUAGCCCGCGUUGGAUUAGGUAGUUGGUGAGGUAACGGCUCACCAAGCCUACGAUCCAUAGCUGGUUUGAGAGGAUGAUCAGCCACACUGGGACUGAGACACGGCCCAG